CCGCCCAAAUGAGGAAGAAAGAGGAGAGAAAGUUGGUUCUUUAAAGCUCGAACCACCCAAAUGAGGAAGAAAGAGGAGAGAAAGUUGGUUCCUUAAUGGAUGAUUUGAAGGGUGAAGAUUGGUGGAAAGAGGGAUUUUGAGAGAAACCUUUGAUUUGAGAGAGAAGAGAGAGAGAGAGCUUUCGUUCGGGGAGAGAAAGAAGAAGAAGGGUAAGAGUCGGCUCAACGAAAAAUUUUUCAAUAAAAAGAG
rnacentral:lncRNA from 1 species